rnacentral:rRNA from 1 species
UACGAAGGGGGCUAGCGUUGUUCGGAAUUACUGGGCGUAAAGGGCGCGUAGGCUGUGAUGUAAGUCAGGCGUGAAAGCCCCGGGCUCAACCUGGGAAUUGCGCUUGAUACUGCGGCGCUGGAAGGUGGGAGAGGAUGGCGGAAUUCCCAGUGUAGAGGUGAAAUUCGUAGAUAUUGGGAAGAACACCGGUGGCGAAGGCGGCCAUCUGGCCCACAAUUGACGCUGAGGCGCGAAAGCGUGGGGAGCAAACAGG